rnacentral:rRNA from 1 species
AGCCUGAUGCAGCCAUGCCGCGUGUAUGAAGAAGGCCUUCGGGUUGUAAAGUACUUUCAGCAGUGAGGAAGGCGGAGUCGUUAAUAGCGGCCUCGUUUGACGUUAGCUGCAGAAGAAGCACCGGCUAACUCCGUGCCAGCAGCCGCGGUAAUACGGAGGGUGCGAGCGUUAAUCGGAAUUACUGGGCGUAAAGCGCAUGCAGGUGGUUUGUUAAGUCAGAUGUGAAAGCCCGGGGCUCAACCUCGGAAUUGCAUUUGAAACUGGCAGACUAGAGUACUGUAGAGGGGGGUAGAAUUUCAGGUGUAGCGGUGAAAUGCGUAGAGAUCUGAAGGAAUACCGGUGGCGAAGGCGGCCCCCUGGACAGAUACUGACACUCAGAUGCGAAAGCGUGGGGAGCAAACAGGAUUAGAUACCCUGGUAGUCCACGCCGUAAACGAUGUCUACUUGGAGGUUGUGGCCUUGAGCCGUGGCUUUCGGAGCUAACGCGUUAAGUAGACCGCCUGGG